rnacentral:rRNA from 1 species
UACAGAGGUCUCAAGCGUUGUUCGGAUUCAUUGGGCGUAAAGGGUGCGUAGGUGGUGAUGCAAGUCUGGUGUGAAAUCUCGGAGCUCAACUCCGAAAUUGCACCGGAUACUGCGUGACUCGAGGACUGUAGAGGAGAUCGGAAUUCACGGUGUAGCAGUGAAAUGCGUAGAUAAUCGUGAGGAAGACCAGUUGCGAAGGCGGAUCUCUGGGCAGUUCCUGACACUGAGGCACGAAGGCCAGGGGAGCAAACGGG